AGGAGUGGGAGGCUGCAGAGAAGAAAAAGGGGAGAAAAGGAGAGAGAGAGGGAAGGAGAAGAAGAAAAAAUAAGGAAAAGAGAGAGGGAAGGAGGAAAAAAGAUAGUGAGUAAAGAGGAGAUUUGGCUUUAAUAUUUGGGUCUUCAACACCAUUGUUAAGAGGAUGAACAAGCACCAUAAGUUUGUUAUGGAGAAGAAGAAAAAAAGGAGAAAAUGAAGUUUAUCGAGAUUGAUGAUGAUUCUUUUUCUGCUGGAGAAUCUGAUAAAGCAAAGGAGAAGAAAGAAGUUUCCAAGAAAUAGGAUUCUACAUCACCCUUUUGUGCUUAACUACCCCACUCAUUCAAGAAAUAGGAAUCUAGAUCACUCAAUGUCUUUGUUUUGUGGUAAACUUAUAUGUUUAGUUUGGUAUGUUUAGUUAUGGUGGUUAUAGACAUGUUCUGUAUCACCCUUUUGUACUUACCUAUCCUUUGUGUUCAUAUAUGAUUUUCACACUUUUGAGGAGUUA